rnacentral:rRNA from 1 species
UACAGAGGUCCCAAGCGUUGUUCGGAUUCACUGGGCGUAAAGGGUGCGUAGGCGGUCGGGUAAGUCUGAUGUGAAAUCUCCAAGCCUAACUUGGGAACUGCAUUGGAUACUAUCCGGCUAGAGGAAUGGAGGGGAGACUGGAAUACUUGGUGUAGCAGUGAAAUGCGUAGAUAUCAAGUGGAACACCAGUGGCGAAGGCGAGUCUCUGGACAUUUCCUGACGCUGAGGCACGAAAGCCAGGGGAGCAAACGGG